CAGUCGCCGCGGGAAUACGAAGGGGGCUAGCGUUGUUCGGAAUUACUGGGCGUAAAGCGCACGUAGGCGGAUAUUUAAGUCAGGGGUGAAAUCCCAGAGCUCAACUCUGGAACUGCCUUUGAUACUGGGUAUCUUGAGUAUGGAAGAGGUGAGUGGAAUUCCGAGUGUAGAGGUGAAAUUCGUAGCUAUUCGGAGGAACACCAGUGGCGAAGGCGGCUCACUGGUCCAUUACUGACGCUGAGGUGCGAAAGCGUGGGGAGCAAACAGGAUUAGAUACCCCGGUAGUCCCUGUCUCUUAUAC
rnacentral:rRNA from 1 species